CCAAUAGCGUAUAUUAAAGUUGUUGCAGUUAAAAAGCUCGUAGUUGAACUUCGGGGUCUACCCAUUGGUCAGGCUUAAUUGUCUGCACUGGUGAGAUGGAUCUCUACCUUCUGAGGAACUUUCAUGCCAUUUAUUUGGUGUGAUGGGAAAUCAGGACUGUUACUUUGAAAAAAUUAGAGUGUUUAAAGCAGACUAUCGUCUGAAUACAUUAGCAUGGAAUAAUGAAAUAGGACGGACUGAUUCUAUUUCGUUGGUUUCUAGGAUCACCGUAAUGAUUAAUAGGGAUAGUUGGGGGCAUUAGUAUUCAAUUGUCAGAGGUGAAAUUCUUGGAUUUAUUGAAGACUAACUACUGCGAAAGCAUUUGCCAAGGAUGUUUUCAUUAAUCAAGAACGAAAGUUAGGGGAUCGAAGACGAUCAGAUACCGUCGUAGUCUUAACCAUAAACUAUGCCGACUAGGGAUCGGACGAAGUUAAUUUUUUAACGACUUGUUUGGGACCUUACG
rnacentral:rRNA from 1 species